rnacentral:tRNA from 1 species
ACCUGGCUGGCUUAGUUGGUAGAGCAUGUGACUCCUGAUCUUGGGGUCAUGAGUUCAAGCCCCAUGUUGGGUG